CUCAAUAGUCUGGAAUUGCAGGAAGGAGAAGCACAGAUUUCCCCAGGGGUCACUAGAGGUCAUGAGAACAAUUCAAUAAUGAGAACAUCCUUGAGGAUCACAGAGUCCAGAGUCCCCAGAGAGAGAGGCAGGAAUCAUGUCUUGUAGAUGGCGAGUUACCUACACAUAUGUCUAGAGAAGAACAAUCCAAUAACGAGAACAUCCUUGAGGAUCACAGAGUCCAGAGUCCCAGAGAGAGACAGAGCAAUCAUGGCUUGUAGAUGCAAGCAGCUCAACAUCUCAAGAUCUCAAGAUAGUACAUCUUCUUGACUUGGUCAUGUCUAGGCUCAUCUACAUGCUUUGAGAGGAAAAAGUGAAAAGCGAAGAAUCACUGUUGGAGCAGCCAUAUUUCACAUAGAGAUUUUCCCAUCAACCCUGUCCUGUUUUGAAGACUAUAUGAAACAGAAAGUCCUAGUGUGCCCUUUACUGCCUUUCAGGCCUUCCUGGGUCCAUACUGGUGCUCUUCUAGAAAGAGGAGAGAAAGAAAAUAGAUUGCACCAACAUUG